rnacentral:rRNA from 1 species
UGGGGAAUAUUGGACAAUGGGCGCAAGCCUGAUCCAGCCAUACCGCGUGGGUGAAGAAGGCCUUCGGGUUGUAAAGCCCUUUUGUUGGGAAAGAAAUCCAGCCGGCUAAUACCUGGUUGGGAUGACGGUACCCAAAGAAUAAGCACCGGCUAACUUCGUGCCAGCAGCCGCGGUAAUACUAAGGGUGCAAGCGUUACUCGGAAUUACUGGGCGUAAAGCGUGCGUAGGUGGUCGUUUAAGUCCGUUGUGAAAGCCCUGGGCUCAACCUGGGAACUGCAGUGGAUACUGGGCGACUAGAGUGUGGUAGAGGGUAGCGGAAUUCCUGGUGUAGCAGUGAAAUGCGUAGAGAUCAGGAGGAACAUCCAUGGCGAAGGCAGCUAUCUGGACCAACACUGACACUGAGGCACGAAAGCGUGGGGAGCAAACAGGAUUAGAUACCCUGGUAGUCCACGCCCUAAACGAUGCGAACUGGAUGUUGGGUGCAAUUUGGCACGCAGUAUCGAAGCUAACGCGUUAAGUUCGCCGCCUGGGGAGUACGGUCGCAAGACUG